rnacentral:rRNA from 1 species
AGGGGGGGCUUACCAUGCAGUCGAGCGGUAAGGCCCUUCGGGGUACACGAGCGGCGAACGGGUGAGUAACACGUGGGUGAUCUGCCCUGUACUUCGGGAUAAGCCUGGGAAACUGGGUCUAAUACCGGAUAUGACCUUGGGUUGCAUGAUCUUUGGUGGAAAGAUUUAUCGGUACAGGAUGGGCCCGCGGCCUAUCAGCUUGUUGGUGGGGUAAUGGCCUACCAAGGCGACGACGGGUAGCCGGCCUGAGAGGGCGACCGGCCACACUGGGACUGAGACACGGCCCAGACUCCUACGGGAGGCAGCAGUGGGGAAUAUUGCACAAUGGGCGAAAGCCUGAUGCAGCGACGCCGCGUGAGGGAUGACGGCCUUCGGGUUGUAAACCUCUUUCGACAGGGACGAAGCGCAAGUGACGGUACCUGUAGAAGAAGCACCGGCCAACUACGUGCCAGCAGCCGCGGUAAUACGUAGGGUGCGAGCGUUGUCCGGAAUUACUGGGCGUAAAGAGCUUGUAGGCGGUUCGUCGCGUCGUUCGUGAAAACUUGGGGCUCAACCCCAAGCUUGCGGGCGAUACGGGCGGACUAGAGUACUUCAGGGGAGACUGGAAUUCCUGGUGUAGCGGUGAAAUGCGCAGAUAUCAGGAGGAACACCGGUGGCGAAGGCGGGUCUCUGGGAAGUAACUGACGCUGAGAAGCGAAAGCGUGGGUAGCGAACAGGAUUAGAUACCCUGGUAGUCCACGCCGUAAACGGUGGGUACUAGGUGUGGGUUUCCUUCCACGGGAUCCGUGCCGUAGCUAACGCAUUAAGUACCCCGCCUGGGAGUACGGCGCAAGCUAAAACUCAAAGGAAUUGACGGGGGCCCGCACAAGCGCGAGCAUGUGGAUAUUCGAUGCAACGCGAAGACCUUACCUGGGUUUGAAAUACACGAAACUUGCAAGAGAUGUAGGCCCCUUGUGUCGGUGUACAGUGGUGCAUGCUGUCGUCAGCUCGGUCGUGAGAUUGUGGUUAGUCCGCACGAGCGCAACCUUUAUCUUUAUGUGCGACGGCGUAUGCGGGAACUCUGGGAAGAACUCUCGCGUCCACUCGAGAAGGUGGACACACUCAAGUCACUAUGGCUUUAGUUCAGUCCACACUGCAAAUGCAGUACAAGUCUCGCAUCCCUGGGAG